AUUUGCUACGGAAUAACUCAGGGAAACUUGUGCUAAUACCGUAUGAGCCCGAAAGGGGAAAGAUUUAUCGGCAAAUGAUCGGCCCGCGUUGGAUUAGCUAGUUGGUGGGGUAAAGGCCUACCAAGGCGACGAUCCAUAGCUGGUCUGAGAGGAUGAUCAGCCACACUGGGACUGAGACACGGCCCAAACUCCUACGGGAGGCAGCAGUGGGGAAUAUUGGACAAUGGGCGCAAGCCUGAUCCAGCCAUGCCGCGUGAGUGAUGAAGGCCCUAGGGUUGUAAAGCUCUUUCACCGGUGAAGAUAAUGACGGUAACCGGAGAAGAAGCCCCGGCUAACUUCGUGCCAGCAGCCGCGGUAAUACGAAGGGGGCUAGCGUUGUUCGGAUUUACUGGGCGUAAAGCGCACGUAGGCGGGCUAAUAAGUCAGGGGUGAAAUCCCGGGGCUCAACCCCGGAACUGCCUUUGAUACUGUUAGUCUUGAGUAUGGUAG
rnacentral:rRNA from 2 species